ensembl:lncRNA
UAUUCCGUCGUGCUUGACGUCAUUUCCCAUUCCGCAGCUGGUGGUUCGUCUGCGCGCUGACAGCAACAGCCGUGUGUCUCUUAUACCGACAGCGAGUAUCAACAGUGAGUUUACUCGUUGUUGAGCCUCGGAAAGCUUCGCAUCAGCUCCCCAAACUCCUUUUUUCCCUCUUCUCCGGCACGUGACGCCACAGCGGGACUUCUUAUUGCCAAAACUGUCUGCAACUGGUGUUCGUGGAGGAAGAGGCAGGACAUAGGGGGGGAAAUCCGGACCUCUGGUUUUAUCACUGCAGCUCCUGCUGGAAGCAACAAGUAGGAGGCCUGUCGGAACUGGACGUAAUCAGCUUUUCUUAAAGACCCAAAGAAAGGAUGUGCUUGUCAGUAUCGCAUCAUCUCAAUGCAACCUGUAUUUUGAUAUUCACAUGAAUCCCUGAUUUGAUUUCUUUGAGUCUUUCCGUGCGGUCUGGGAAUACGGCUUUCCCAUUUCAAUGAGGCUAAUGGGAGUAUUCUCCCACUUCAGAAAGCACUCAUCUCCGUGUAAACAAGCAGCUGCGAGGCA